CUGAUGAGCCUCAGACGGUGCUGAAACCAGCCGACUCUGCCCAGGAUCCUGAGUCCUGGUUUCCUGUUGACCCUUCCUUCCCUCACGACUUAUUUCCCCUGGGAACUAUCGAUGUUCUUUUGGCCAGUGGGCUUCCGUUGAGGCCAUCCUAAUCAUCAGAGAGGUUUUAGUCGAGUUAAACCUCAAAAGAGAAGGUGUUUCUUAAUUUUCCCAGGGGUGCCCUUGGCCCUGAUACAGAUUUAGCUACCUUCCCCCGAAAGCCUCAAAGUUCUGCAAACUCACAGCCAAGCAAAACGCAGCUGCAGUCGAGCCAGCCUCGAAAGGUCUUACAACUUUCUGCAGUGGCCAGCUUGUUCUCUGUUUCCAUGCCUUCCAGAAUGAAGAAGAUCAGUUCUAAGGUUUCUUACUAUUUCUACCAAGAGACGACCAUCGGCAUUCCACAGACGGCUCCUCUAGCUGUGCACAAUGCCUGUUCUUAUCGUUAUCACCCGCUUCGCGCCAGCGGUUCUCAAUACAAAUUCCUUGAGGUUUCACAGUCACAGAUAGGUUGUAUUUGUAGGGAAACAGAAGUGCUUCAGUGGAAUACUAUUGCUCUUUGUACAGAAACCUGACACCUAGUACUUCUGAAUUCUAAUCCUAGUUCUGUUAACAAUUGGCUUUGUAGCAGCCUAGAUAAAGUCAAAUUAUUUCUCUGUGUAAAAGAAAAACCUAACCAGUAGCAGGGGCACAGUAGUCUAUGUGCCUUCCCUCUGGGCUUGUGGUUAGUCAGCAAUGGGGGCUUUGUGAACUGCGUAGACCAGCACCCCACAGUCUGUUUCAGUUCCAGUUUAUCCCAUUGUCUCACGUGAUCUUGAGUCAUUUAAUCAUUCUGUGCUUUUUCAGCCUUCAGUGUAACAAAAUAAUUUACUAAGCACCUAGCAACUUGGGGUUUGCUUGAGGUUGUUAUAUCUGAUUAGAUAUAUCUCUAUUAGAUAUUAGAUGUGUCUGUACAUGUAAAGUAUGAUACAUUAUAUCCCCACAAGCCAAACAGGCACACGUAAGGCCAGCUUAUAGCAUUGAGAUUUGGAAGACCCCUUAGAAGGUAGAUCAGUGACCAACAACUGGGCAAGAAAUUCCCUUGACAAUGCAGCUGCUUGAGUAGUUUCAGUUUCAGAGCUCUCCUGUGGCAAGUGAAUUAUUGGAUAGUAGUGACUUAUUCAUGUGUUAGAAAGUCCUUCUUUGGAUGAGCUGGUAUCUACGGAAACUUCCCUUAUUCUACUUUUGUCUCUGCACCUAGCAUAGUUCCUGGUACAGUAUAUAAUGAGCCCUCAGAAAAUAUUAGGGGAACUGAGAACAAGACUGUUUUCUUCCACACAGUAGCUCUUUAAAAUUUGAAGGUAGCUCUCAUGUUGCCCCCUAAUUUUCUCAUUUUGGGACUAAACACACUCACUUGCUAUAAUUCUUUAUAGAGGGGUGUGGCCCCCGAUGUGUGGCUGUGGAAAGGCAUGGUCCCCAAUGUGUGACCGUUCAGGUUGCGUUUCUGAACGCAACUCACAUCACUUCUAAGAUAGGGUGUCCAGGUCUGGAAGAAAUGAUCCAUUUCUCUACUGAUGAGCAUAGCAAUCUGUGGGCCUGUUGCUGUCCACGUCUGGAAUACCAGCUAAGGUGGAUUGAUGGUGCCGAUGGCCCCCAUGCAUAGGUUCCUGGCACUCCCAUCCUCUGGGAUGUGGUCCACAGCUCCUCCCAUUGCAGGUGGAGGGUCUGCUUCCCCACCCAAGUCUGCCUUGGCCUGAGACUUGCUUUGACCAGUGGAAUGUGAGCAAAGUGAGGCUGUGCCAGUUCCAGUCUGUGCCACCAGGUCCCUGCUGGAAACCAGCUUCCAUCAUGACAGCAGGCUGGGGCUGGCCUGCAUGAGGGUGACAGAGCACAAGAGGUACAAGAGUUGUUCCUGUCAAGGCCAUUCUGGACCAGCCUGCACUGGCUGACCGAUUGACCAGACAGGGAGUGUGCUGGGCCAGGUCAUAGUGGCCCUAGGACCACCCUGGAGACUUGGGGGCAAUGUUGAAUGGUUAUCACUGUGUGUCACUGAGGUUUUAGGGUUGUUUCUCGGGCAGUGUUGUUUUGGCAAUAGAUAAUUCAUACACCCUACUACUAGCACUGCCCAAGACUGGAUUAUCUGUGACAGGGACUUAUAUCAGACUUGUGACCUAUGACCUUCGUCUGAUCACUUUUAUGUAUACCAAUUUCCCUACCUGUGCCAUCCAACAUGGUAGCCACCAGUCAUGUGUGACUACAGAGUGCUUGAAGCAUGUUAGUCUGAAGUGAGAUGUGCUAUAAAUAUAAACUACACACCUGAUUUUGAAGACUUUCUACAAAAAUCUAAACGAUCUCACUGACAAUUUUUAUUGAUUACAUGUUGAAUGUAUUAUAUUUUAGAUAUAUCAAGUUAAAAUAAAAAUAUUUGGAAAAUUAAUA
rnacentral:lncRNA from 1 species